rnacentral:rRNA from 1 species
GAUGAACGCUAGCGGCAGGCUUAACACAUGCAAGUCGAGGGGUAACAGAGAGAGCUUGCUCUUUGCUGACGACCGGCGCACGGGUGCGUAACGCGUAUGCAAUCUGCCUCAUACUGGAGGAUAGCCUUUGGAAACGAAGAUUAAUACUCCAUAGUAUUAUUGAUCUGCAUGGAUUAAUAAUUAAAGGUUACGGUAUGAGAUGAGCAUGCGUCCUAUUAGCUAGAUGGUGUGGUAACGGCACACCAUGGCGACGAUAGGUAGGGGCCCUGAGAGGGGGAUCCCCCACACUGGUACUGAGACACGGACCAGACUCCUACGGGAGGCAGCAGUGAGGAAUAUUGGACAAUGGGCGGAAGCCUGAUCCAGCCAUGCCGCGUGCAGGAAGACUGCCCUAUGGGUUGUAAACUGCUUUUGUACGGGAAGAAACACCUCUACGUGUAGAGAUUUGACGGUACCGUAAGAAUAAGCAUCGGCUAACUCCG